UCGAGAAUCUUUCACAAUGGGGGAAACCCUGAUGGAGCGACGCCGCGUGGAGGAUAAGGUCUUCGGAUUGUAAACUCCUGUCAUGCGAGAACAAAGCCCGCAAGGGCCUGAUAGUACCGCAAGAGGAAGAGACGGCUAACUCUGUGCCAGCAGCCGCGGUAAUACAGAGGUCUCAAGCGUUGUUCGGAAUCACUGGGCGUAAAGGGUGCGUAGGCGGCGGGGAAAGUCAGAUGUGAAAUCCGGAGGCUCAACCUCCGAAUGGCAUCCGAUACUCCCUCGCUAGAGAUUUGUAGAGGAGCUUGGAAUUCUCGGUGUAGCAGUGAAAUGCGUAGAUAUCGAGAAGAACGCUCGCAGCGAAAGCGAAGCUCUGGGCAAAUUCUGACGCUGAUGCACGAAGGCUAGGGGAGCAAACGG
rnacentral:rRNA from 1 species